rnacentral:lncRNA from 1 species
AUGCUCAGAGUCCUGUCUGCCAGGGGCUGCAGCAGGGAGCGCGAGCUGAACCCGGGGAGGGUCGUGCUUCGUGCAGGGCCAGCGAGAGAAGUCGCCUCCCGGCGCCCCGGAGCCCGACCCCACGCCCCGGACUCCCCGAGUCUUCCUCGGAGCGCCGGCCGCGCCGCCCUUCUUCUUGAGCGCUGGUCUCCACCGACCCGGCCUGAGCCGCCCACGGAUCCUGUCCGGCCUGACGGAAAUGACCCGGCCAGGGUCACACACUCCUCGGCCCGCUCCGUGGCCGCCGUCUCCGCUUCCGCUUCCGCCUCAGCCCAGUUUUCUCUCCGACUCGGGCCGGCUCUGUGCCGUCGCUUUCGACCCCGCCGCCUAGCCGCCGCCUGCUCUGGGUGCGGGACGCCCUCCAGUUCCUCUCCUGCCCCGGGCUCUAUAGUCUGCCGGGACCAGUGCCCCUGGGCUUCGAGACUCCAGGUUCCACCUUGCCGAUGAGCUCGACCCUCGCCGCAGGUCCCCGCGUUUCCUUUCCUCCGGCCACACUUCGCAGAGCGGGAGUCCUCUUCACUGAGACUUGGGUCUCGCCCGAUUUGCUCGUGUUAUGGCGGGGCAACUUUCCAGAGAGGGUGCUUGAGUUUCCGGAACGGUGGUUUCUGGAUUGUUCCUUGGAAGGUGAGUUAUGCAGGCCGUGGGCACCACCUAUCUUCCUGUCUACAAAGCAAACCAUAUUGUUCAACUGGUGGGCGCUUCUUUCCCAGCCCUGGUGAACGGACCCUUUGCAUCUUCCCCGCAGCCAGUUACGACACUCCCCACAUCAUCUCGAGGAUAAACAGUCCAAUUUAAUGUAUUAAUAACAUGACAUUGAGCGCCUCCUCCCAUUCCUGGACCCUGUUUUGAACACACUCCUCUGUCUGUCCUCUUCAAUUUUAACACUCAGUAUUGAACUUACUACUCCAGAUAGAGUCUUAUAAAUGGAACUUCGCCUCUGUCAUUCUAUACCCCGUAUUUCUGGUAAUGUAGCCCUCAAAAACCACAUUACUUUCCCUGAGGCCUGUUGCACAGUUGACCAUGAGGAGCUUUAGGUAGAUUGAAUGUCAGCAGAGUCUCAGGUUAUCCCAGACAAGGUGGAGGGCCCAGGCAGCAAAGAAAUGUUGACCUUUUCUCUAAGAUCCCAAGAAAUGAAAGAGAUGUUCUUGGCUUUUGAAGGUAAUGCUGAGCUAGGGUGUCAGUGUCAUCAUGAAAGUGUUAAGAAAUACAAAUUGAGGCCUUUUCUGGCAAGUGCCUUAGCCUAGACAGAGUCCAGAUAUUCAGGGAUAAGGGUAGGAAGGUGAAAAGUCCUGCUCUACUGGAUAUUGCCUUGAAUCCUGUUCCUUCAAAUUCCUGAUGAGAAGGAGCUUCAAGACUGAACAUUGGGUUUUCUGAAGGAGCUAGAGCAGAAAAUUCCAUGCCAGUGGAGGGCUGGGGGACGAGCCAAGUCAAAGUCAAUAUAGGAGAAGUGCAAGGGGCUGGGCGCGGUGGCUCACACUUGUAAUCCCAGCACUUUGGGAGGCCAAGGCAGAUGGAUCUCUCGAGGUCAGGUGUUUGAGACCAGCCUGGACAACACAGCAAAACUCCAUCUCUACAAAAAUUAAAAAAUUACCAGGUGCGGUGGCUCACACCUAUAAUCCCCGCACUUUGGGAGGCUGAGGCAGGCGGAUCAUUUGAGGUCAGGAGUUCAAGACCAGCCUGCCCAACAUGGUGAAACCCUGUCUCUAUUUAAAAUACCAAAAAAAUUAGUCAUGGUGGCACAUGCCUGUAGUCCCAGCUACUGGGGAGGCUGAGGUGGGAGAAUUGCUUGAGCCCAGAGGGUAGAGGUUGUAGUAAGCUGAGACAGUGCCACUACACUCCAGCCUGGGAGACAGAGUGAAAAACCAUCUAAAAAAAAAAAAGUGCAAGGUACAAAAGAAGUCAAUACAAAGAUGUUUGGGGAAACAUGGGUAUUCAAAGAUGAAGGACUGGAAGCAGGUCAAGGUUGGUGAGAGGAACUAGAAGUGAAGAAGUCAGAUAGAAGCACCAGGGUGAACCUGGGGAACAGAAAUCUUAUAACUACCUUAAAGGCCAGCAGGUAUCUAUAUGCACGCCCGUGGAGCCAGAGGUAGGUCAUUGGCUUAAGGAAUGAGGACAGAAGUGAAGGCAGGGGCAGAAAGGGACACAUAUAUUGAGUUUGUUGCAUGACCUCCAUUAAAUCACUUAUACUCCCUGGGCUUCAGUUUCUUCAUUGUAAAAUUCUACAAUUGAAAGAGCUGUGUUCUAAAUGCCUUGUGUCCUAAAAUUCUAGGUUUCUACCUCAGAGCCUGUAUCUUGCAGGAGCAAGGGGAUCACAGGCCACCCACCAUCAUAGCAGCACCUUCUGCAAUGGGACUUGACCCUUGAGACCUCAUGAUGAGCUCUGUGUGACCGGGGUUCCUCCAUCCAGAGUUAUAAGUAGUCCUCCCUAAUGGGAAGGGCUAAAGCUGCAAAGCCUCUACCCCUGCUGGUUGCCCCAGGUAGAGUCCUCCCUUUUGCUCCUCCCCAGUGUCCAGAGCAAAACACAGGGCCUCUGGUACUGCAUUUUGAGAGCCAUGCAGGCAGACACAGUCAUUUGUGGGCAGCUAAAACCCCAGGAUAUUUUUUAAAACAUAGACCAGAAUUUGGCAAUUAUAUAUAUUACGCCUCAUGCUAUGAGUUUUAGCUCAAUAUUCCAGCCUGGAGAAAUAUGUUUUUAAAUCCUUUACUCUACAAUAAAACACAGAUUCGAGGGCCGGGCGCGGUGACUCACGCCUAUAAUCCCAGCACUUUGGGAGGCCGAGGUGGGUGGAUCAUGAGGUCAAGAGAACGAGACCAUCCUGGUCAACAAGGUGAAACUCCGUCUCUACUAAAAAUACCAAAAAAUUAGCUGGGCAUGGUCGUGUGUGCCUGUAGUCCCAGCUACUCAGGAGGCUGAGGCAGGAGAAUUGCUUGAACCCAGGAGGCGGAGGGUGUGGUGAGCCGAGAUUACGCUAUUGCACUCCAGUCUGUGUAUCAACAGUGAAACUCCGUCUCAAAAAAUAAAUGAAUAAAUAAUAAAAUACAGAUUUGAAAACCACACAAAUUAAGUGAAUGCCUUAAUGAAUUAUAAGGGGAACACCAUCCAAGUCAGAGAAUUUUGCCAGAUACAGAAAGCUUUUUUAUGUGCCCCUCCCAAUCAUAACCCCCCCUGGGGCUAGAAGUAUCCUUACUCUCUAAUCACUUCCUUGCAUUUUAGUUUAUCACCUAAUUCAUCUUUAUACACUAUGGUUUAGCCUUGCUCAUUUAAAAAACAUGGAUAGAAGCUUUUUUUCUAUCAGUAG